rnacentral:rRNA from 1 species
UACGAAGGGGGCUAGCGUUGCUCGGAAUCACUGGGCGUAAAGGGUGCGUAGGCGGGUCUUUAAGUCAGGGGUGAAAUCCUGGAGCUCAACUCCAGAACUGCCUUUGAUACUGAGGAUCUUGAGUUCGGGAGAGGUGAGUGGAACUGCGAGUGUAGAGGUGAAAUUCGUAGAUAUUAGGAAGAACACCAGUGGCGAAGGCGGCUCACUGGUCCGGUACUGACGCUGAGGUGCGAAAGCGUGGGGAUCAAACAGG